rnacentral:rRNA from 1 species
GUCUGUUUGUAGAUAUAAAGAGUCUAGCCUGCCCACUGAUAUUAUGAAUUGAAGGGCCGCGGUAUUAUGACUGUGCAAAGGUAGCAUAAUUAUUAGAUUUUUAAUUGGAAUCCUGUAUGAAUGGUUGGACAAAAGAAUAGCUGUCUUUAAAUUAAUUUUGAAUUUAACUUUUAAGUGAAAAGGCUUAAAUAUUCUAAAGGGACGAUAAGACCCUAUAAAACUUUACAUUAUAAUUAUAUUUUUUUGAAUUUAAUAUAAAAGUUUAAUUUAAUUAUUUGUUAUAUUGGGGAGAUAUAAGUCAAAUGAAUUUUAACUGCUUAAAAUUGAAACAAUUAUAGAUGAAUAAAAGAUCCUUUAUAAAGAUUAAAAAAUUAAGUUACUUUAGGGAUAACAGCGUUAUUUCUUUAGAGAGUUCUUAUCGAGAAAGAAGAUUGCGACCUCGAUGUUGAAUUAAAAUAUCUAUAUAAUGUAGUGGUUAUAUAAGAAGGUCUGUUCGACCUUUAAAAUUUUACAUGAUUUGAGUUCAAACCGGUGUGAG